UGCCGGAGUCUGUCUCUGCCGUCUGGGUUAUGGCAAAGGACAGUGACGCCGUAAAAAAUCAGUGGUCCGACAUCAAGUCGGCUGCUAAGAGACCAUUUAUGUGGACCAGCUGGAGUUGAAGGUGUCGUCCAUGAUAGGAGAGAUGGUGGUAGAGGGACUGAGCAACCGGUAAAUUAGAGUUUUCCAUGCAUGUUGAAAGCACACCCUUGUGCCUGACUUACUUUUGAGUGGCAGGGGGCAGCCCACAGAGUGAAGGCAGCGCACAAAGUCUCUGUUUCCCAGUGCGGCCAGCACAGCCUUGCCCAUGCGGGUCAUCACCCUCAUACUGGCCACCACAUAAGCCUGGGAAGCGCAGGUCCAUAGCCUUGUCCAACUCCUCCUGAGACAUCCAGCGCCCAAGCUGGCUGAUGCCACCUACUCGUGGAGACGG